AUACAGAGAGUGCAAGCGUUAAUCGGAAUUACUGGGCGUAAAGCGCGCGUAGGCGGCUAAUUAAGUCAAAUGUGAAAUCCCCGAGCUUAACUUGGGAAUUGCAUUCGAUACUGGUUAGCUAGAGUGUGGGAGAGGAUGGUAGAAUUCCAGGUGUAGCGGUGAAAUGCGUAGAGAUCUGGAGGAAUACCGAUGGCGAAGGCAGCCAUCUGGCCUAACACUGACGCUGAGGUGCGAAAGCAUGGGGAGCAAACAGGAUUAGAAACCCCAGUAGUCC
rnacentral:rRNA from 1 species